rnacentral:rRNA from 1 species
AUGACUAGCUCUUUCAAGGAUAAACUUGGAGAAGGUGGAUAUGGCACGGUAUUUAGGGGUAGCCUACAAGAUGGCUGUGCGGUUGCAGUGAAGCUCCUAAAAGUUUCCAAAGGCAAUGGAGAGGAGUUCCUAAAUGAGGCAAUUAGCAUUUGUAGGACAUCACAUAUCAACAUUGUCGGUCUGCUCGGUUUUUUCUUAGAAGCAGCUAAGCGGGCCCUUGUUUAUGAGUAUAUGGCUAAUGGUUCACUGGAGAAAUAUAUAUACACAGAGAAUUCAGAUCUAGUUAUUGGAUGGGACAAGUUACAGCAAAUAGCACUUGGGCUCGCACGAGGAUUGGAAUAUUUGCAUCAAGGAUGUAGUACUCGUAUCAUCCAUUUUGACAUCAAGCCUCAGAAUAUACUUCUAGGUCAAGAUUUUUGUCCCAAAAUUGCAGAUUUCGGUUUAGCGAAACUGUGUCACCUCAAGGCUGGUAGCAUCCUCUCUGUCGCCGAAGCAAGAGGUACCAUUGGAUUCAUUGCUCCAGAAGUAUUCUCUAUAGGUUUUGGAGUCGGUUCUACAAAUUCAGAUGUCUAUAGCUAUGGAAUGAUGCUCCUGGAAAUGGUAGGGGGAAUGAUAAAUAAAGGAAAAGGGAAUACCGAGAGCUCAAGUGAUGUGUAUUUUCCAAACAGGAUUUAUGACAGUAUAGCAGAACAGGUACAAAGUUGUGAAGUCAUCUGCGACCUUAAAAAGGCCAUGAGAAAGAUGGCCUUAGUCGGCCUAUGGUGCAUACAAACUAACCCCGAAAACCGUCCUUCAAUGAGCAAGGUGAUUGAUAUGUUGGAAAAGAGAAUCAAUGAAUUGGAGAUGCCACCGAAGCCGUUCCUUUCUUGUACCUCGAUCCCGUCAUACUUGUCGUCGCAUACAAGUUAUGGUUACAGAUCAUCAUAUUGCUCCGCAUCCCCUGCUCUGUUACCAUGA